GACAACUUGUUGAAGUUGGUGUAUACAAGUCUCUAUCACUUGAAAGUUGAGAUCUAUUUGAAUUAUGGGACCACUAAUAGGACUGAUGAAAGUAUUGAACAAUCUAGUUUUCUUCAUACAGUAGACAAUAGUUUGGGCGGUGUGUGGCAGAUGAUUGAAUUCUUCAGUUUGUGACAUUUUGGGCUUUAUUCUUGGGGUAUUGUUAGAAUGAUCUAUGCCUUCUUCGAGUCUUAAAUAUUCUGGGUGAUGCUGGUGUUCAUUUCUAUGUGCAUUAGGCUGCUUGGUUAAUCCAAAGUUCUUUAAGAUGUGAGUCAAGCAUUAUUAUUAUUAUUUUUUUUUGGUAAUGCUAUCAGUUUGUUUUCCAGCCAAAAGGAGCUCAUUCUGUAUGUUUUCGUUCCCAUGGGACCAUGUGAUUGAAGGGAAAAAUGGGAAACAACGUUAGUCAAGUGAUGGAUGUCCCAGGCAUAAUGGUAAAUUUUGGAGUGGCAAAUGGUCAUAGAGUCCAUGAACAUGAAGCAUCAGGAAAACAUUGUGAAAAAGGGGAGAGUGAGUGGGUUUACUUCAGAUUUGGUGGGAAGUAAUUUUGGAAUCCAUGAACACAAAUAAUCAGGAGAACUUUGUUAAAACACGUGGGAGAGUAGGUGGUAUAAAAUAUGCACACAAGAAUUCCUAACAUGCUACAUUAGGAAGAUAAGCAAUACACACUAGAAGAAGACAGAUAUACGUUGUUGCCUAUAAAAAGAAAAAAGACAAAUAUACGUUGUUGUGAAAUUAAAUUGUUGAAAUGAUUGUUCUUGCAUCGGG
rnacentral:lncRNA from 1 species